AUUAGUUGAGUUGAGUUGAGUAUAAGUAGAUGGAAGUAGUGAGAAGCUAUUUUUCAACUUCAAAUUCAAGUGAACUAGCUUUUAAUCAACUUGAGUUAAGUUAGAAAGAUGAAGAACUCUUUGGUAAAGGGAGGAUAUGUUGGCUGGACAGCAAGGAAGAAGAAGAUAAUUUCAAAUCUUUUGGCCCACACUAAAACAUUUCCACAAUUGAAAACAGAGAAUCCAUUUAAUCAGAUCAAUGAAAUUGGGCUAUCAUUAUGCUUCAAAUCAGUUUCAGUCAAUUUGAAAUUGAAAUUCAUAAUAAUAUUGCCCAAAUAUAGAUUAAUUUUCUCACCAAUCACUCUCCCAAUCAACCUCUGAUAUUUUCUUAUAUCAACCAACUCUCUAACUCCUGCUUGUAGUUUAUGACUGGCUUCAAUAGGAGACUCUUCUGAGUUAUAGCCUAACAUGUCUGUUUUAUCUAGAAAGUCCAAUAUGUACUUCCUUUGAGAA
rnacentral:misc_RNA from 1 species